UCCUGGCUGGGGGAACAAGAGAAGCAAGGAAGGGUGUUCCUUGCUGGUCACAAGAGUUUGAGAGAGAACCAGAAGAUGGGUUCUGGUGAUAUUUUACACUCAGAAAGGAGGAAGAGGCUCUGAGAACUUCAGCUCUGAGAUAAGGAAGGGGUUCAUUCAAUUCUGAUUGUGUGACUUAGCCUGAGGGCUGAAUCACUGAAGACCCACCUAGUAAGGUCAACAACCUGCAGGAGGUGCCUGUGGCAGGAGAGCUUGCAGCAUCAUAACCAGCAGACAGGAGGUACUCAUGAGAGGUCUUAAUUGAGAAACUGCCAUUGAAGUCUGUGGGAAUUUGUUCAAUAAAGGAGCUCACCACUUGAUCCAAAACUGGAGAUCGAUGCUGCUGUUAUCGAUGCAGCAGGUGUCAAUCUAGUGAAGACCCGCUAAAUUGAUGGCAGAGAACUCUCCGGUCGACCCCGUUAAUUUACUCUUCUUGGGGAGCUGGAGUAAGUCCACUAGAGAGCGUCUCCUGUCGAUGCAGCACAGUGAAGACAUCGGGUGGCUGAAAAGGCUCCACUGCUGUCUGUUUAUUCACCAGAAAAGACCUGCUGUUCCUUUGACAGGUGCACUUUCUGAAUUAGAUACCCAGACCCAGCCAGGAUACUAAUGGAGUGAUGACACUAACCCUACAACAAUAGAGAGGACCUCCAGGAAACUACUCACCGAGGGGCUAAGGUGCAGUGUCCGUCACAGCAGUACAAGAAUGUCUCCAGGGUAUAGGAGUGCCAAAGAGCAUUUAAGAUACAAACUUUCAGGAUCUAAGACCCAAACCUCACACUGUGAUGGAGCCAUCUAUUUCAGUUAAGAUUUUCUCCAGAAGCUAUCUGCAAGAUGAACAAUAAGCCUAUGAAAACAAAGGUACUGACACUUUUCAAAUAGGCUACAGAAGAGAUUUUUUGCAUCUUUUAAAUGGACUAGUGUGAUCUGACUGUCCACAGGAAUUGGCAGCCUGAUAGAGGCAGUGUAGUGCUUACACAGAGUCUGAGAGUAGGCACUACCCAGAAAGUGUCUCUGAUUAAUGGGGUGAAUACUAGCGCUAACAUUUAACUUUUCAUUCAAUCUCCCCUGGAAGCUUGGCUAGUUCUCUAUAUCCUUAAAAAUGAAAUAUUUAUCACAAACAAUAGCAGAAAUAUUUUUCAGGAUGAGGAUAGAUAGAAAUUUCAUGCACAUUUCUUGUCAGCCUGCAGUAAUCAUAAACUAUGGUCGGGGGAGAGGGGGCAUUUUAAUGAGACCUCUUCAUUUCUUUUUUUGGUGACAAUAAUUAAUACUUCUAUUGCUUAAAAAUACUCCUUCACCAACUCUUACUCAGUACUGGUUGGAAACUGGUAACUAUAAGGGUUGGAAUUAAUUUGAAUUAUGCCUGGGAUGAAUUUGGCCCACGAUGUUGCAAAAGACAAAAUUCUGGCUUUUAUAAUUUGUGAACGCUGCAGCCAAAGCCUUUCUCUGUGCCUUGCAAGUAGACUGGCAUAUAUAUAUGAUUCUAGAGAACAUUACCGCAGAAUCAGGCAGACGCUGGAAUGGUUCAGGAUGGAUAUGGUAACAGCUUGUGGCAGGAUGGCAUAGAACAUGUCAGCAGUCAUCCAAGUAAGAUUAGCAGAUUUGGGCAUCUUUUCCAAAGCCAGACGUGCAAGUUACAUGUAAUUAACCAUGUCUCAUAUGAUAUUAAAAAGAAUAACUGAAAUCAUUUGUGGAAAACUAUACAUGUAUAAUUAAAAUUUAUAAAAAGACUUUUCUACAUGUCCACAUUUUUCUUGCAUUUCCUUUUGUUUUAUGCCCUGACUACAGCAAUUCUACAAUAUUAUCCAGUGGAAAUGUUAUUUUAGGAUCUUUAUAUUGUACUAUCAAAAGCUCCCCCCUCCCAUUAUGAAAUACUGUGACUAGAGAAUUUUUCAUAUUGGCAGCCAAAGCACUUGCUCUCAAGUGACAUGCUCAAGAAACUUCUGAAGGGGCACAGACGGUUGAAACACAGAUUUUUCGCCAGUAUAGUAAUUCUUACAGAGUAGUUGCAUAGAGAUACAGCAAUUUAAUAUGCCGUCGUCUGUUUUUUAAAGAAAUGUCACCUUAAUUUA